rnacentral:misc_RNA from 1 species
GAAAUGCGAUACUUGGUGUGAAUUGCAGAAUCCCGUGAACCAUCGAGUCUUUGAACGCAAGUUGCGCCCGAAGCCAUUAGGCCGAGGGCACGCCUGCCUGACGCUCGAGACCAAUCACGUGCGAGCCGGUCAGUUCUGGACCCAUCGACGACCCUUUGCGUGCACGCACGCUCCCAACGAGACCUCAGGUCAGGCGGGGCUACCCGCUGAGUUUAA